GACGAACGCUGGCGGCGUGCUUAACACAUGCAAGUCGAACGGAAAGGCCCCUUUGGGGGUACUCGAGUGGCGAACGGGUGAGUAACACGUGAGUAACCUGCCCUUGACUUCGGGAUAACUUCAGGAAACUGGGGCUAAUACCGGAUAGGAAUCCUUGCUGCAUGGUGGGGGUUGGAAAGCUUCGGCGGUUUUGGAUGGACUCGCGGCUUAUCAGCUUGUUGGUGGGGUAGUGGCUUACCAAGGCUUUGACGGGUAGCCGGCCUGAGAGGGCGACCGGCCACAUUGGGACUGAGAGACGGCCCAGACGCCGACGGGAGGCAGCAGUGGGGAAUAUUGCACAAUGGGCGGAAGCCGGAUGCAGAAACGCCGCGUGCGGGAUGACGGACUUCGGGUUGUAAACCGCUUUCAGCAGGGGCGAAGCUUGUGGUGACGGUACCUGCAGAAGAAGCACCGGCUAACUACGUG
rnacentral:rRNA from 1 species